UGGAGCAUGUGGUUUAAUUCGAAGCAGCGCGAAGAACCUUACCAGGUCUUGACAUCCCCUGACAACCCGAGAGAUCGGGCGUUCCCCUUCGGGGGACAGGGUGACAGGUGGUGGCAUGGUUGUCGUCAGCUCGUGUCGUGAGAUGUUGGGUUAAGUCCCGCAACGAGCGCAACCCUCGACCUUAGUUGCCAGCAUUCAGUUGGGCACUCUAAGGUGACUGCCGGCUAAAAGUCGGAGGAAGGUGGGGAUGACGUCAAAUCAUCAUGCCCCUUAUGACCUGGGCUACACACGUGCUACAAUGGGCGGUACAAAGGGUCGCGAACCCGCGAGGGGGAGCCAAUCCCAAAAAGCCGCUCUCAGUUCGGAUUGCAGGCUGCAACUCGCCUGCAUGAAGCCGGAAUCGCUAGUAAUCGCGGAUCAGCAUGCCGCGGUGAAUACGUUCCCGGGCCUU
rnacentral:rRNA from 1 species